GGUCAAGCGAGAUAUUAGUGCGGUUCAAUCAAAUAGUCGCACUCUUAGUAGAUAGAGAUUGAUUUUGUUCGAUUGAGCCGUGCCAAUAUCACGCAUAUAACC
rfam:Brassica napus, WGS project CCCW01000000 data, contig: 15599